GACGAACGCUGGCGGCGUGCCUAAUACAUGCAAGUCGAGCGGACCGAACAGGAGCUUGCUCUUGUUCGGUUAGCGGCGGACGGGUGAGUAACACGUGGGUAACCUGCCCGUAAGACCGGGAUAACUCCGGGAAACCGGAGCUAAUACCGGAUAACACCGAAGACCGCAUGGUCUUUGGUUGAAAGGCGGCUUCGGCUGCCACUUACGGAUGGGCCCGCGGCGCAUUAGCUAGUUGGUGAGGUAACGGCUCACCAAGGCGACGAUGCGUAGCCGGCCUGAGAGGGUGACCGGCCACACUGGGACUGAGACACGGCCCAGACUCCUACGGGAGGCAGCAGUAGGGAAUCUUCCGCAAUAGACGAAAGUCUGACGGAGCGACGCCGCGUGAGCGAAGAAGGUCUUCGGAUCGUAAAGCUCGGUUGUUAGGGAAGAAGAAGCGUCGUUCGAACAGGGCGGCGCGGUGACGGUACCUAACGAGAAAGCCCCGGCUAACUACGUG
rnacentral:rRNA from 1 species